AUAACGCUCCGAAAGGAGUGGUAAUACCGCAUGAGACCAUGGACUGGGAUGUCCAUGGUGAAACCUGGGGACCGCAAGGCCUGGGGCAAGGAGAGGGUUCUGCGUCUGAUUAGCUAGUUGGUGGGGUAACGGCCUACCAAGGCGACGAUCAGUAGCCGGCCUGAGAGGGUGAUCGGCCUCACUGGAACUGAGACACGGUCCAGACUCCUACGGGAGGCAGCAGUGGGGAAUUUUGCGCAAUGGGCGAAAGCCUGACGCAGCAACGCCGCGUGGGUGAUGAAGGUCUUCGGAUCGUAAAACCCUGUCGUCGGGGACGAAGGUUGUGGGUUGAAUAGGCUCGCAGCUUGACGGUACCCGGAGAGGAAGCCCCGGCUAACUCUGUGCCAGCAGCCGCGGUAAUACAGAGGGGGCAAGCGUUAUUCGGAAUUAUUGGGCGUAAAGGGCGCGUAGGCGGUGUUUUAAGUGAGAUGUGCAAUCCCCGAGCUUAACUUGGGAACUGCAUCUCAGACUGGAACGCUAGAGUACUGGAGAGGGUGGUAGAAUUCCACGUGUAGCGGUGAAAUGCGUAGAUGUGGAGGAAUACCAGUGGCGAAGGCGGCCACCUGGACAGUAACUGACGCUGAGGCGCGAAAGUGUGGGUAGCAAACAGGAUUAGAUACCCUGGUAGUCCACGCUGUAAACGAUGAACACUUGGUGUGGCGGGAGUUGACCCCUGCCGUGCCGUAGCUAACGCGAUAAGUGUUCCGCCUGGGGAGUACGGUCGCAAGGCUGAAACUCAAAUGAAUUGACGG
rnacentral:rRNA from 1 species